CCUACGGGUGGCAGCAGUGAGGAAUAUUGGUCAAUGGGCGCGAGCCUGAACCAGCCAAGUAGCGUGAAGGAUGACUGCCCUACGGGUUGUAAACUUCUUUUAUAAAGGAAUAAAGUGAGGCACGUGUGCCUUUUUGUAUGUACUUUAUGAAUAAGGAUCGGCUAACUCCGUUCCCGCAGCCGCGGUAAUACGGAGGAUCCGAGCGUUAUCCGGAUUUAUUGGGUUAAAGGGAGCGUAGAGGGUGUGUGAAGUCAGGUGUGAAAGUUUGGGGCUUAACCGUAUCAUUGCAAUUGAUACUGGCAGUCUUGAGUACAGUAGAGGUAGGCGGAAUGCGUGGUGUAGCGGUGAAAUGCUUAGAUAUCACGAAGAACUCCGAGUGCGAAGGCAGCUUACUAAACUGCCACUGACACUGAUGCUCGAAAGUGUGGGUAUCAAACAGGAUUAGAUACCCCAGUAGUC
rnacentral:rRNA from 1 species